rnacentral:rRNA from 1 species
UACGUAGGGUCCGAGCGUUGUCCGGAGUUACUGGGCGUAAAGCGCGCGCAGGCGGCGGUGCUGGCCCGGCGUGAAAGCCCCCGGCUCAACCGGGGGAGGGUCGUCGGGGACCGCACCGCUUGAGGGCGGUAGGGGCUGGUGGAAUGCCUGGUGUAGUGGUGAAAUGCGUAGAGAUCAGGCGGAACACCCGUGGCGAAGGCGGCCAGCUGGGCCGUCCCUGACGCUGAGGAGCGAAAGCGUGGGGAGCGAACAGG